GGGCGGAUGGCGGAACUGGUAGACGCAACGGCCUUAGGAGCCGUCGGGGAAACCCUUGGAGGUUCGAAUCCUCUUCCGCCCA
rnacentral:tRNA from 1 species